UCCUUUACCACAUACUAGUAUAUCACAGUGAUGAGGUUUAUCUCCAGUAUGUGUUCUCAUGUGUCUUCUUAAAUGACCAAGCAAUCUAAAAUCUUUACCACAUUCAUUACAGUUGUGAGGUUUUUCAUCCGUGUGUGUUCUCAUGUGUGUCUGUAAAGUACCACAUUGACUAAACCGUUUACCACAUACACCACAGUUAUGAGGUUUAUCUCCAGUAUGUGUUCUCAUGUGUCUUCUUAAAUGACCAAGCAAUCUAAAAUCUUUACCACAUACAUCACACUUAUGAGGUUUAUCACCUGUGUGUGUUCUCAUGUGAGUCUGUAAACUACUAUGCUGACUAAACCAUUUACCACAUACAUCACAGUCAUAAGGUUUAUCACCUGUGUGUGUUCUCAUGUGUCUCUGUAAACAUUCAAGGCGACUAAACCCUUUACCACAUUCACCACAGUCAUAAGGUUUAUCCCCUGUAUGUGUUCUCAUGUGUCUCUGUAAAUUACUAUGCCGAUUAAACCGUUUGCCACAUACAUCACAGUCAUAAGGUUUAUCACCUGUAUGUAUUCUCGCAUGUUUCUUUAAAUUACUUUUCUCACUAAACUCUUUACCACAUACAUCACAGUCAUAUGGUUUGUCACCUGUAUGUAUUCUCAUGUGUUUCUUUAAACUUCCUUGCUCACUAAAUCUUUUGCCACAUACAUCACAGUCAUAAGGUUUUUCACCUGUAUGUGUUCUCAUGUGAACUUGUAAAAUUCCAUGCUGAAUAAACCCUUUACCACAUACAUCACAGCUAUGAGGUUUAUCUCCAGUAUGUGAACUCAUGUGUGCCUUAAGGUGGCUACCUUGAAAAAAUUCACUAGCACAGACAUCACAUUUAUGAGGUUUUUCACCAGUAUGUGUUCUCAUAUGUCUCUUUAUAUCACUACUUCGACUCAAUUUUGUAAAACAUACAUCACGUUCAUGAGGUUUUUCACCCGUAUGUGUUUUCAUGUGUCUCUUUAAGUUUCUACCUUGAGUAAAUUCUCUAGUACAAACAUCACAUUUAUGAUGUGUUUUACCAGCCUGUGUGUUUAUGUGUCUCUGUAGAGU
rnacentral:lncRNA from 1 species